UACAGAGGUCUCAAGCGUUGUUCGGAUUCAUUGGGCGUAAAGGGUGCGUAGGCGGCGCGGUAAGUCGGAUGUGAAAUCUCGGAGCUUAACUUCGAAACUGCAUUCGAUACUGCCGUGCUUGAGGACUGGAGAGGAGACUGGAAUUUACGGUGUAGCGGUGAAAUGCGUAGAUAUCGAGAGGAACACCAGUGGCGAAGGCGAGUCCCUGGACAACUCCUGACACUGAGGCACGAAAGCUAGGGGAGCAAACAGG
rnacentral:rRNA from 1 species